AAGAGUCCACAGGCAGAUGGGGUAAAACCCGCCUGCCUGCACACUCCACCCUUUGUUUACAUUACCUUUGUUGCUUUGGCAGGCCCGUCUUCGGACCACCGGCUUCGGCUGGUCAGCGCCUGCCAGAGGACCUAAAACUCUUGUUAAUAAUAUCGUCUGAGUACUAUAUAAUAGUUA
rnacentral:misc_RNA from 1 species